UCUAAGUCCAAUCGUCACUACAUAUUCAUUUUCCUCCGCCUCUGUGGUAAUAGAAUUUUUAGCUGAACAACAUAACAGCCAGAAUUCCAGCCUCCCUUUCAGCUUUAUGUGGCCACACAACGAAACCGUGGCCAAAGGGAUGUGAGCAAAAGUAACGUAGGCAACUUAUGGAUCAAGGCUGGUAGAAAAGAUGAGGAAGUGAAGGCACCGGGCCGCUGAGCGUCUCGCCAAGUAUUACUUCCGGUGUAACGGGCGCUCGGCCCCUCCCCUCCAGGUGUCCGCGCAGGCUUCCUCCUGUGACAACCACGCGCAUUUCUCCCAUCCUAUCGCGAUCCAUUACGGUUCCUGCUACUGAUCUCUCUGGGAGCUCAGAUCUGUCUUCAGUCGGGAACUCACAAAGCCUUGUUGUCAGUGGUGUGGAAGAAAUUCAGUUAGAAGCGUCCCCAAGUACAUCCCUGACCCAUCCUUGGCGGGCAAGAGGGAUUUGGAAUCGGAGCGUACAAAUGGAAUCCAUAAGUAGGGGGAAGCAGCCGGAAGGAGCUGGCCCUGUGUCCUCAGCUGACAAGAAAGCGUCUCUGCAGCCAGCACAGACCCGGGUCCUUAAGCUCCCACCAAAGACUCCAGGCCGGUGAGAGGGGUUGGUGAUCACUGUAGGGGCUCCCCCAGCAAAUUCUCCCCACGUUAUGGGUGCGGGUGCCGGGGCCCAAGUGCAACCCACAUUUUAACAAUCAGAAUUGCAACUCA